ensembl:snRNA U6 U6 spliceosomal RNA
GUGCUCGCCUCAGCAGCAUGGGUACCAAAAUUGCAACGAUACAGAGAUUAGCAUGACCCCUGUGCAAGGAUGACAUGCAAAUAUGGGAAGCGUUCCAUAUUUUA